GCGCCUGUAGCUCAGCAGGAUAGAGCAACGGCCUUCUAAGCCGUAGGUCCCGGGUUCGAAUCCCUGCGGGCGCGCCA
rnacentral:tRNA from 4 species